rnacentral:lncRNA from 12 species
AGGAGAUGUGGGCUUUGGGCAGCAUGGAGCACGAUUGGCUCUUGUCCUUUCUAUGUUCUUUGGGUCCCUUCUCUUCUCUACUGAAACUCAUCACAUAGAUGAUCUAACCCAAUCCCACACCUUAGAAUACUCUCUGCCAGUGAGUCCCAUUUAUAUCACUCAAGUCUGUCCCCAGCUUGAGCCUUUGCCUGGAGCAAGUGCUCAUUCUUCACUAUCUUCAGGGCUCUGCUCCAAUGCCACCUUCUUAGGGAGGCCAUCUCUGGCCCUCCUGCCCAAAAUAGCUCCUCCCUCCUCUCUGUCCCUUAUUCUGAUUUUUCUUUUCUUUUCUUUUUUAAGAUUUUAUUUAUUUAUUCAUAAGAGACACAAAGAGAGAGAGAGAGAGAGAGAGAGAGAGAGAGAGGCAGAGACACAGGCAGAGGGAGAAGCAGGCUCCACACAGGGAGCCCGAUGCAGGACUCGAUCCCAGGUCUCCAGGAUCACGCCCUGGGCUGAAGGCGGCGCUAAACCACUGAGCCACCAGAGCUGCCCUGUUUUUUUUAAUACACAUCAAUAUACUUCAUAUAAAUCAGUACUAUACUUGUUUAUUUUUUUUAUUUUUGAGAGAGAGAGAGAGCACGUGGGGGUGGUGGGUGGGAGGCAGCGAAUGAAGGAGAGGGAGAGAAAGAAUCCCAAGCUGACUCCAUGCCCAGGGCGGAGCCCGAUGUGGGACUCAGUACCACAACUCUGAGAUCAUGACCUGAGCCCAAAUCAAAAGUCGGACUCUCAACUAACUGAGCCACCCAGGGGCCCUGAGGAUUCUCUCUCUUCACUGGAAUGGGUUCAAUGGAGGGCAUGUGCAAACCCUCACCUUUGUCAUUGCUGUAUUGCCACACUUCAAACUGUUCCUAGCUAGUAGUAAGGGCUUAAUAAGUAUUUAUUGAAAAAUACAUACACAAAAGAAGACUAUUUUAUAUGAUAGGGUCUUCAAGAGCUCAUUCUGAAAGCUAAAGGCUGGAUAUUGA